rnacentral:rRNA from 1 species
GACAGAGGAGCCAAGCGUUGUCCGGAUUGACUGGGCGUAAAGGGCACGCAGGUGGUCGUGCAAGUGCCGUGUGAAAGCAGCUAGCUUAACUGGCUGAGGUCAUGGCAGACUGCGCGACUCGAGCCCGUGAGAGGUCCGUGGAAUUGCCGGUGUAGUGGUGAAAUGCGUAGAGAUCGGCAGGAACACCCAUGGAGAAUCAGCGGACUGGCACGGUGCUGACACUGAGGUGCGAAAGCGGUGGGAGCGAACAGG